rnacentral:sRNA from 1 species
ACCCAUCGAUUGUACGCAUCUGCAUGGGAAAAUCUUUUGCUACCAUUGUUAGAUCGUGAUCGCCGACAGCAUGCAAACGAGCGUGUACGAGUCUACUCUAUAAAGCGAGAUGCGUACUUGGGCUCCGUUUUAUGUUCUUUGAUGGUCUUACCGGUGCUACCAGCACCGUGCUGCGCGAAGGCCGUCUUACCAAACCCAAAUCCAUUUUGAUAUCAGGUCAGUGUCAUUUGGCUUCAUUGAAGCCGAUUUUGCUACUACCAUGCGCUUUGGAGAAAUGAUGCUUUGAUGAUCUGAUCUACUGCGUUCUUCAUUGACGUAGGCUUUCCAUAUUCCACCUUGAUGUUUAGUCUAUAUUUGGAUUCUGCCAAGGAUAUUGCCCACAGAAAGGAUACACGUGUAUACUGACGCGUAUCUGAGUACCUUAACAGCCAAGUCAAUCAUUAACAGAGUGAAGGGUUGUCAACAACCAAUGGGAGGGAGGCCUGGGGCAUCACGGCGAUUUCUCCGUUUGAGGUUAUCGGGCGUGGAGACAAAGAGACCACCAAACUUGAGCGGAAAAGGAAAUCUGUAACGUGUUCAGCUACUGGAUUUGGACUCGAAUUCACAUCCAUUGAUGUCAUGCAUUGGCCAGGUCCGCGAGACUCCCGUCACCUGUGGUCAUCACUGCCCCUGUCGACCUUUCGCUGUGUGAGGAAUGAGAGG